GCAUAAACCAACGAGUGAUAAAGAGCGGUGCAUAAACUUGUGCCUACAAACUGGAAAGAACUGCUACAAAGUUGUGAAGAAGGGUGGGACAAAAUUCCUC